UGGGGAAUAUUGCACAAUGGGCGCAAGCCUGAUGCAGCCAUGCCGCGUGUACGAAGAAGGCCUUCGGGUUGUAAAGUACUUUCAGCGAGGAGGAAGGCGUUGUGGUUAAUAACCGCAACGAUUGACGUUACUCGCAGAAGAAGCACCGGCUAACUCCGUGCCAGCAGCCGCGGUAAUACGGAGGGUGCAAGCGUUAAUCGGAAUUACUGGGCGUAAAGCGCACGCAGGCGGUCUGUCAAGUCGGAUGUGAAAUCCCCGGGCUCAACCUGGGAACUGCAUCCGAAACUGGCAGGCUAGAGUCUUGUAGAGGGGGGUAGAAUUCCAGGUGUAGCGGUGAAAUGCGUAGAGAUCUGGAGGAAUACCGGUGGCGAAGGCGGCCCCCUGGACAAAGACUGACGCUCAGGUGCGAAAGCGUGGGGAGCAAACA
rnacentral:rRNA from 1 species